rnacentral:rRNA from 1 species
UACGAAGGAUCCAAGCGUUAUCCGGAUUUAUUGGGUUUAAAGGGUCCGUAGGCGGAUCUGUAAGUCAGUGGUGAAAUCUCACAGCUUAACUGUGAAACUGCCAUUGAUACUGCAGGUCUUGAGUAAGGUAGAAGUAGCUGGAAUAAGUAGUGUAGCGGUGAAAUGCAUAGAUAUUACUUAGAACACCAAUUGCGAAGGCAGGUUACUAUGUCUUAACUGACGCUGAUGGACGAAAGCGUGGGGAGCGAACAGG